CCGUAAUAUAUAACAACUGUUAUUUAUUCUGUUUUUGUAUGAACUUUUAGAUUUAUUGAUAUCUUCCGACGUAACUGCCCCGUAACGUUGUUCGUUUACUGUUAUAAAGGCUUUUGCUAUGCAUACUCUCGGUAGCUGUUUACACAAUCUGUACUUCGUCAAUCGUAGACCACGACGACCAGCGACGAACGCAAACUAUUAGUUCGGGCUCAUUCCUCUCCGUUUAAUACACAUCUCAUUGGCAACCUUGCAAAAUUUAAAUGUACGUUUGAUUUCCGAAUUUGGACAAUAUAAAUUUUUAACUCAGGGUGAUACAAUAAAUUCAUUAUUAGCUAGGUUUUGUAAAGGCAUCGGCUCUUGAAGUACUGUUUAAUAAACGAGCAAGAGUGUUUUAUUAGGUUUAAAGCCACGAGCGCGCAACGCGAGUGGCUUUAGACCUAAUAAAACACGACCUGCGAGUAAACAGCUUCAAACACGACUACAAAUUCAAUAGAUAUACUGCCUUAUUAGUAUUCUUUAUAUAAAGAGUACUAAUGAGGACACGACUACAAUAGAUACUGCCUUAUUAGUAUUCUUU